rnacentral:rRNA from 1 species
CAAUAGCGUAUAUUAAAGCUGUUGCGGUUAAAAAGCUCGUAGUUGGAUUUCUGUCAAGGACAACUGGUCCGCCCUCCGGGUGAGCACAUAGUUUGGUCUUGGCAUCUUGCUGGAAGCUGUUGCUGCACUUGGCUGUGUGGCGCAGCGUCCAGCACUUUCACUUUGAGGAAAUUGGAGUGUUUCAAGCAGGCACAUGCCUUUGGACACAGUAGCAUGGAAUAAUUAGAUUGGGCUUUUGCUCCAAUUUGUCGGUUUCUGGAGCUGAGGUGAGAAUUAAUGGGGAUUGUUAGGGGCAUCCGAAUUUAGCCGUCAGAGGUGAAAUUCUUGGAUCUGCUAAAGACGGACAACUGCGAAAGCGUUUGCCCAGGAUGUUUUCAUUGA